GAUGAACGCUAGCGGCAGGCUUAAUACAUGCAAGUCGAGGGGCAUCAAGGUACACGAAAGUGUAUUGUUGGCGACCGGCGGACGGGUGAGUAAUAGGUAGGUAACCUACCUCAUACUGAGGCAUAGCUGGGAGAAAUUCCAGGUAAUUCCUCAUGAGGUUAUAUGACACAUGUGAUAUAAUCAAAGGUAUCGCAAGGUACUGGUAUGAGAUGGGCUUACUGACCAUUAGCUAGUUGGUGAGAUAAGAGCUCACCAAGGCGAAGAUGGUUAGGGGUUUGAGAGAGAGAUCCCCCACAUUGGAACUGAGAUACGGUCCAGACUCCUACGGGAGGCAGCAGUAGGGAAUAUUGGGCAAUGGGCGGAAGCCUGACCCAGCCAUGCCGCGUGAAGGAGACGGCCUUAUGGGUUGUAAACUUCUUUACUAUGCGACUAACUAGAUUUACGAGAUAAUUCUAUAGAAUGUAGCAUAGACAAAAAGCAACCGGA
rnacentral:rRNA from 1 species